GUGAGGGAUGACGGCCUUCGGGUUGUAAACCUCUUUCGCGCCGACGAAGCGAGAGUGACGGUAGGCGCAGAAGAAGCACCGGCCAACUACGUGCCAGCAGCCGCGGUAAUACGUAGGGUGCGAGCGUUGUCCGGAAUUAUUGGGCGUAAAGGGCUCGUAGGCGGUUUGUCGCGUCGGGAGUGAAAACACCGGGCUUAACUCGGUGCUUGCUUUCGAUACGGGCAGACUAGAGGUAUGCAGGGGAGAACGGAAUUCCUGGUGUAGCGGUGAAAUGCGCAGAUAUCAGGAGGAACACCGGUGGCGAAGGCGGUUCUCUGGGCAUUACCUGACGCUGAGGAGCGAAAGUGUGGGGAGCGAACAGGAUUAGAUACCCUGGUAGUCCACACCGUAAACGUUGGGCGCUAGGUGUGGGAUCCAUUCCACGGGUUCCGUGCCGCAGCUAACGCAUUAAGCGCCCCGCCUGGGGAGUACGGCCGCAAGGCUAAAACUCAAAGGAAUUGACGG
rnacentral:rRNA from 1 species